rnacentral:rRNA from 1 species
AGGGGGAGCAAUCCCUGAGUAAAGUGGCGACCGGGUGAGUAACACGUGACUAACCUACCCUUGAGUGGGGGAUAACCUCGGGAAACCGGGGCUAAUACCGCAUAACAUCCUUGAAGUGGAAACUUUGGGGAUCAAAGGAGCAAUUCGCUUAAGGAGGGGGUCGCGGCUGAUUAGCUAGUUGGCGGGGUAACGGCCCACCAAGGCUUUGAUCGGUAGCCGGCCUGAGAGGGCGCACGGCCACACUGGAACUGAAACACGGUCCAGACUCCUACGGGAGGCAGCAGUGGGGAAUUUUGCGCAAUGGGGGAAACCCUGACGCAGCAACGCCGCGUGGAGGAUGAAGUCCCUUGGGACGUAAACUCCUUUCGACCGGGACGAUAAUGACGGUACCGGUGGAAGAAGCCCCGGCUAACUUCGUGCCAGCAGCCGCGGUAAUACGAGGGGGGCAAGCGUUGUUCGGAAUUAUUGGGCGUAAAGGGCGCGUAGGCGGUGCGGUAAGUCACCUGUGAAAUCUCCCGGCUCAACUGGGAGGGUGCGCCGAAUACUGAGAGGCUAGAGUGUGGGAGAGGAAAGUGGAAUUCCUGGUGUAGCGGUGAAAUGCGUAGAUAUCAGGAGGAACACCGGUGGUGUAAACGGCUUUCUGGACCCAUACUGACGCUGAGGCACGAAAGCGUGGGUAGCAAACAGGAUUAGAUACCCUGGUAGUC